UUCCUGGUAGUCCAGAGGCUAGGACUCUGUGCUUUCACUGCUGAGAUGCAGGUUCAAUCCCUGAUUGGGGAA
rnacentral:tRNA from 1 species